rnacentral:lncRNA from 1 species
GUGGAGAGCUGAAACCUAACAUUUAGAAAGAAACAACUGUGUCUAAGUGCCGGCUGUUUCCACGUCUGAAAGUUAUUACAUGCUUCUGUAACCUGGCUGGAUCACGUACGUGUUUCACUGGGCAGAUAAAUGAAAUAGGUAAACCUUAGCAUACCUUGAACUAUUAGAAAGUUCUGGUAAAGGGAAACCAACGAAUCUGACAGGCCCUAAGUUCUUACUUUCUUUGAAAAGAGAUGGCCCAACCAUAUAGUCCAUAUACAAGUCACAUCUCCCAGAUCUUUCUGGGUAAAAUCCCUCCCUCUCCUUCUCCUUCCCUUUACUUGCAACUCCACAUGCCCACACAAUACUGGAGAAAUGUGUUUGUGCAAGGAGCGGUGCCAGGAGGAAUCAGCCCCUGCAGCUAUGCAGAAACAGGCACCACAGCCCCACUGCUCCUGUGCUGGAAAGGGUUUCUGUAGAAGAUUCCUGCAAAUUAAAAAUUGUCAGCUGAUCUGAUCUGGGCUUCUGAAAAUGUGGAAUGAAAUACACAUUGCACAACAUGAAAAGCAACCACACUGAAGACAGAGCAGGUAAGGGAAACACUUUCACUGUUGUACAUGAGUAAGCCAAACCAGAUACAUAAGCCAAAUACUGUUUUCUUAUGGGAAUGCCCUGUUUUAAGAUGGAUUAUGGUGUUUAGUACAGCAAUAAUCAAUAAUAAUAGUAUUACUACAAUUUGUGACUACACAAAAUAGCAGUGUUGUAUUUGAGGUUGGUUUUCCAACAAGCCCUUGACAGAGAGCUUUCCUUCAACAGGCAGAAGGACUGAUUUACCUUCCUCCACUGGUAUUACUGAGUCCAACGCUUAUUACCUACAUUUAUCUCCAAGGCCUCUAAAUUGUUAUAGGAAACAAAUUGGUCUAAUUUGUUGUUCUACUGCUCUGCUAUCAAACAUCACCAUGUUUUCACAAACACUUAUAACAAUAUGAAAAUCCACAAAUUUAAAGCCAAAAAGUUCAAACCCAAAGUUUUUCCUUUUACAAAAGACUUUAAAAAAACACUCAGCAAAUUAGCUUUUACCCAAUUAAAAGCAUUAUAUCAAUGAAAACCCUGUUUUUUCCCAAUCUUUAACACUACUCAAGAAGACAAAGGCAAGGGUAUUAUCCCAUGUUCAGUGCCAAAAGUAAGUAGCUGUAUUCCACCCACCUAAGUGCUUUCUUUAGUUUAAUUGAAUGGUUGAAUUGAAGUGUUUUCAUUUCCUGAAGUAAAAUGGUGUGCAACAUCCCAGCUCAUUCUUAUCCACCUUCUAUUCAAUCAGCAAUAUGUUCCUGUGGAAGUUUAAACCAUUCCAUUAUGUAUAUAAACUCAUUUGUGAUCUCACAUGCCAGAGGACACUGAUAAAGCAUGUUAUUUAGUCUGAAUUUAAUACUACAGGCUGGAUCAUUUGCUGGGAUUUAUGGCUUAUUGAUGCUCCCACUG